UUAUUUUAAUUGCAACAAAAAUGAUUUACAAAAGCUUUUGUAAAUUUAGUUAUUAAAUUUAUAUGCAUUUCAUAUUUAUUUAAUUUAACAUUCAAGCAUUUUCACGAGCUUUUAAUUAGCCAACCCUGAAGAAUUUCUACAGUUUCGAUAAUUUUAUCCUGAGAGAUUUUAUAUGUCAAAUCCUCACUCAACUCACUUACACUCAUCUCUCCCAUCAGCCAUGCUUUAAGCCAUGCUUUAUCUGCCAACUUUAAGCCAUGCUAUUAGCUCCAACUUUAAGCCAUGCUUUAUCUGCCAACUCAAGACUAUAGUGCAGCCCAAUUUUCAUGCUUCCACCUUCACACAAAUACUUCUCAAUUCACGAAGUUCUCUCUUCCAAAAGAAAGGGGAACGAACUAAAGUUACAGAGCCUUAACAGCUGCACAUAUCCAGACCACACACCCCAAAUUCAGUGAGCUCCUCCUCAACACAAUCAGCACAAGUUUUUGAAGUUUAUGCGGUGCCCUAUGAUUACUCAUACACACUUGGGUGUGUGGUGAAGCCCAAGCCGCCGCAAUACUAUGGAGGAAUCGCCGUGAAUUCGGAAUUCAACGACGAACUGACAGGAUGGGCGGCAGUUGGAAAUGCUACAAUAGCUACUGCCAAGUCGGCGUGCGGCAAUAGCUACGCCGUCGUUUCCAACAUUCACACGCCACGCUCCGACGGCCUUUCUCAGGCUUUCAACGUUGACAGAGACAUACUGUACACCGUUUCAGGUAGUUCAUUAAUUAAUUACUUUUUGUUGCUACCACUAAGUUAUUAAUUGAAAAAGAAUACUAAUUAACAUUAAUUUGCAGCAUGGUUCCAAGUUAGCGUGGGAGAAGUUGCGGUGCAAGUUAAGAUAGUAACGAGCACCGGCAACCAAACCGCUAACUGGAUUGUGGUAAAAGCCGGUUGCUGGACCAUGCUGAAAGGUGGCUUCCAUGUCAACGUUACUGAAGCAGCCGAGCUCCAUUUUGAGGUCUCUCUCUCUCAAUCUCUCUCUAUAUAUAUAUCUCUCUCUCUCUUUCAAUUAUCUCUAAUUAACAUUAAUUUAUUUUGGUUGUGUGUCAAGACCAACUCCAGAGGAUCUGAUAUGUGGGUUGGUAGCGUCUCGGUGCAGCCGUUCACUCAAGAAGAGUGAACUUGCCACCAGGCUCAAAGCCUUGAAAAUGUACAAUUCAUAAUUAAUUAAUGUGGAAUCUGUGUUUAAUUAUAUGUGAGAUGAUAUGGUAUAUAUGAUGAUAUGCAGGUGCGCAAGGGG